GACGAACGCUGGCGGCGUGCUUAACACAUGCAAGUCGAACGGAAAGGCCCUGCUUUUGUGGGGUGCUCGAGUGGCGAACGGGUGAGUAACACGUGAGUAACCUGCCCUUGACUUUGGGAUAACUUCAGGAAACUGGGGCUAAUACCGGAUAGGAGCUCCUGCUGCAUGGUGGGGGUUGGAAAGUUUCGGCGGUUGGGGAUGGACUCGCGGCUUAUCAGCUUGUUGGUGGGGUAGUGGCUUACCAAGGCUUUGACGGGUAGCCGGCCUGAGAGGGUGACCGGCCACAUUGGGACUGAGAUACGGCCCAGACUCCUACGGGAGGCAGCAGUGGGGAAUAUUGCACAAUGGGCGGAAGCCUGAUGCAGCAACGCCGCGUGCGGGAUGACGGCCUUCGGGUUGUAAACCGCUUUCGCCUGUGACGAAGCGUGAGUGACGGUAAUGGGUAAAGAAGCACCGGCUAACUACGUGCCAGCAGCCGCGGUGAUACGUANGGUGCGAGCGUUGUCCGGAUUUAUUGGGCGUAAAGGGCUCGUAGGUGGUUGAUCGCGUCGGAAGUGUAAUCUUGGGGCUUAACCCUGAGCGUGCUUUCGAUACGGGUUGACUUGAGGAAGGUAGGGGAGAAUGGAAUUCCUGGUGGAGCGGUGGAAUGCGCAGAUAUCAGGAGGAACACCAGUGGCGAAGGCGGUUCUCUGGGCCUUUCCUGACGCUGAGGAGCGAAAGCGUGGGGAGCGAACAGGCUUAGAUACCCUGGUAGUCCACGCUGUAAACGGUGGGUACUAGGUGUGGGGUCCAUUCCACGGGUUCCGUGCCGUAGCUAACGCUUUAAGUACCCCGCCUGGGGAGUACGGCCGCAAGGCUAAAACUCAAAGGAAUUGACGGGGCUCCGCACAAGCGGCGGAGCAUGCGGAUUAAUUCGAUGCAACGCGUAGAACCUUACCUGGGUUUGACAUGGAUCGGGAGCGCUCAGAGAUGGGUGUGCCUCUUUUGGGGUCGGUUCACAGGUGGUGCAUGGCUGUCGUCAGCUCGUGUCGUGAGAUGUUGGGUUAAGUCCCGCAACGAGCGCAACCCUUGUUCACUGUUGCCAGCACGUUAUGGUGGGGACUCAGUGGAGACCGCCGGGGUCAACUCGGAGGAAGGUGGGGAUGACGUCAAGUCAUCAUGCCCCUUAUGUCCAGGGCUUCACGCAUGCUACAAUGGCUGGUACAGAGAGUGGCGAGCCUGUGAGGGUGAGCGAAUCUCGGAAAGCCGGUCUCAGUUCGGAUUGGGGUCUGCAACUCGACCUCAUGAAGUCGGAGUCGCUAGUAAUCGCAGAUCAGCAACGCUGCGGUGAAUACGUUCCCGGG
rnacentral:rRNA from 1 species